UUCGAUUAUAUCCUUCUAUACGAUCGGACGGUGAAAGUUGGAUUGGUGACUCUCUCUCCCCCAUGACACCUUCUCUUUCUUCAAUCUUUUUCUCUCACCUCUCUUUCUCACGAACUAAUCCCUUAUCUCCUUCUCUCUCCCCCUUUCUCUCUUUUUCAAACCCUUCUUUCUCUCUCUCCCUUCUCUUUCCUCACCUAAUUGCGCCUUGACCUUUCAAUUAUCCUCCCAUACAAUUAGACAAUGGGAACUCGAUCUGAUCCCUUAUCUCUCUUUCUUCUCUCU
rnacentral:lncRNA from 1 species